rnacentral:misc_RNA from 1 species
AGAAAAAUAACAAAAACAAAAUGAAGAGGGGUGAGCAGUGCACAACUCCGCGCAGGUUAGCAUAUGCCCCCUUUGUCUCUGGGUCCUUCCGUUUACACCUCUUUAUCCCCAAAAAACUACACGCACAAGCCGUCUUCCUCUUGGUGGCCGCCUCUUUGCCAUAUAGAUCUAAGAGAUCGCUUUGCUAUCUCUUCGCGUUUCGGUUCGUUUCGGCCAUUUUCGAGAUCUGCGUUUGGAUUCGAGUUCGAAAAUCGCUCAAUUUCGAUCCAGUUUCAUCGAAUCUGGAGAAAAUUUGAGUAGUUGUAAGGUGCAAUUCUCUCUGCUCUCUGGAUUGAUUGAAGUGGAGAUAAUAAGCUGCAAUGCGGGGAUAUGAAAGAGAUGAUUUUGAAGAUUAUGAUGAAUAUGAGGAGGAAGGAUAUGAACAACAGGAAGAAGGUGAGGAGGAGGAAUAUGAGGAGGAAGAAGAGCAAAAACCAAGUGCAGAGGCAAUUGAAUAUCUUGAAUUAAGGCAACGAAUUAAAGAACAAAUUAGGAAGAAAAUGCAGAGGGAAAAUGGUCCUGCUGUUUCCAAAUCCCAGGAGAUAAAGAAGAAACUUCCUUCUGAUAAUUAUGGGUCAUUCUUUGGCCCUUCUCAGCCGGUUAUUGCCCAAAGAGUAAUUCAAGAAAGCAAGUUAUUACUAGAAAACCCACAUUUGGCUUUCAGAGUUUCAAAUUCCCAUCAUGUAUGUAUCUUAAACUUUUAGAUGUAAAAUUGAAUGAAUAUACUACUAAUACAAUCCAAUCUCAAGCUCAAACUUGCUUAUGGAGCAUUCUUGAUUUUUAUGAAUUGGGAAAAUGACAACUCUCUAGUUGCUUGUUUUAUUGAGGUUGCUUUGAUUUUACAAUUUGAAUAAAGCUUUCAGCAGUGUGGUAGCCAACUGAAGGAAGCUGCUUGCAAGCCCUUUGUUCAAUGCUGGGAGGAAGAUCCCUAUAAUUUGAUAAAUUUUAAGGGGAAAUUGUUGUUUUCCUUGAUAUUUUAGUGAAUCUUACUUCUUGAUUUUUGCAACCUGAGAUGAUGACAAGCUAGAGAAAUUAAUUUCUUUCUCCACUGAAAAUCCAUAAUGUUAUAAGUAUCAAUUAUGGUACAACAUUUGGGUAUUGGCUUGAUGAUUUGUUCUCUUGUUCUGUUAUGGACUAUAUUGUCACCCUAAGCACAUUUGCCAAAUGACAGUGCUGAAAGCUGCUUUGAAUUUUUAUGUUGGCUUUUGUUGUGAUGAUCUUGCUGCUGCUGCUGCAGCAGGACAAAAAGACCUCCUCUUCAAGUGGCACAGGUUCAAAGAAUGGAGUUCGUCAGCCACUACCCAAAGUCAGAAAUGAGCUAAAAACAAAAGUGCAGAAACUUAGAGAUACAAGAGAUUACUCCUUCCUGUUAUCUGAUGAUGCGGAACUUCCAGCUCCUCCCAAACCAUCUGUGCCUCAAACUGUUGCUACUCCAAAAUCUGGUAAAUUGCUAAUUUAGUAUACAAUUCUGUUUGUUGGUGCUUAAUACAUGCUAUUGAGAAAACUUAUACAGGAUUUUUGCUGGUGUUCAAGAGGCACGAUCUGCACAAGUGCCACAGAAGAGUAAACAGCUAUCAGGCAGUAAUGUCAGAGAUAUUCGUGGUGCUUAUGAAGAAAGGAAAUCAAUUCCUAUCAAUGGCCGAAUGCAUUCUAAAUCAGGGUUGUAUAAGUCAACUUCAACCGACAAACCCACUUCAGCAUCAACAGACUUGAGACGGCAGCUUGGUAGCAACAAUGGAUCCGGGCCUGGUCGGCCUACAGGGCCAAAAGGUUUGCCUUCAAAGAUGCCUCUUAGCACCAUGGAGAAGAAGUCCAUUGCACCAGCUGCAAAAACAAUCCUUCCUGCUGCACGCAAACCACUCCCUCCGAAUAAGCAGUCAUCUGUUCCAAGGCUACAAGUUGAACAGAAAAGGGUAUUACCACAACCCAAGAAGAAUGUAGUUAUGCCAAAUAAGCCAGUGGCCUCUUCAAAACCUCAGGUUUAGGCCAAUACUUAAUUUUUUUUUAAAGUUUGUGACAAGGUAAAUCUUUGUGAAAAAUUGUCUUACUUUUUACUUCUGAAAAAUUAGCAGAUAAAUAGACCAUUCAAGCAGAUUUCAUCCCAUGCAUCAUUGCAAAAUAAUCAUCCCAAGAAAAAGCCUGCCAGACCAUUCUUUGAUGAUGAAGAUGAGGAUACAAAGGCUCUUGAUAUUAUUAGGCAAAUGUUCAAGUAAGGCUAAACCCAGCGCGCUGCGGCCCCCGCCCCCUGCCGCUCCACCACCCUCCCUUCUCCUCUUUCUCAUUUCUCCUUUCUCUUCUUCCCUCCAUCCCUUUUAUGUUGGCACGCAUCUAUUGGUGAUUUAAAAAAUUAUAUAAUCCUUAGGUUAGGACUUAGAACCCACAUAUGGGUCAAGGUUUUUUCACUGAAGUUCAGUUUUGAUUUAACAAUGAAUUGAUUUGAGUUGACCUUAUUUAUGAUUUUGAAUAAGCCAGCCUAAUGCUGUCCAGUCAUAGUGUUUCUGAUGGCUUUUACAAAUGUGAUAAUGGAUUUUUGUGUCAUUUCAUUUCUAGAUUCAACAAGUAAUUUUAUUCUUAUAAUAAUCACUAGUGGGGAUGUUACAUGGGAACUCCCUGAAAAAGGACCAGCUUCUGAUAUUUAUAAAAUUCAAUGACUAAAAUAUUGAAUGUGAAAGGAGGGACCAAAAUUUAUAGUGACUUGAAUUUGUGUGUACAUGUGUGCGCACAUGUGCGUGUACUUGUGCACGCCGUGCACAUAUGCAUGUGUUUAAAUAUCCCAAAUCUUACAUUAGUUAAAAUUUGUUUCAAGAGCUUCUUUCAGCAAUUAGUAUAUAAACCUGGAUUGAAAAUAAAAUUUAUGCUUUUGACCAUUAUCUUUUUGCUGCUUUUGUUUCUCUGAUUGAAAUAGUGCAAGUUAGUUUCAUAUUUAAUAAGAGAUUCCUUUUUUUCCAGUACAAGAAGGUAUGCUGAUCGCUAUGAUGACGAAGAUGAUGAUAGUAUGAUGGAGGCAAACUUUGAUGAUAUCAUGAGGGAAGAGAGGAGAAGUGCAAAAAUAGCAAAGGAGGAGGAUGAGGAGCAACUCCGCCUGAUAGAGGAAGAGGAGCGGCGGGAGCAGCAGAGAAAAUUGGCAAAGAAGCGCAAGCUGAGCCAACAUUGACGGAGUGACAAUUCCUCAUUUCUUUUCUAUUUUCUGAUUCUGGCAAGGUCCCAUCCAGUUCUGCAUCACUGCCUAUGAUGAUGUAGUUUGGGUUCUCAUUGUGCUUAUAUUCUUGAAUUAUAGGAAUGUGUUUGGCAGUUUUAGAUGCAAUUAAUUAUAGAUAACAAGUGAAGGUAUUUUUGGCAGUUGCAUUUUUUUGACUUAGGAAUAAUAUUGCUGUGUAGUGAUUCCUGGCCAAUUCAUUAGGAUUAUACUGACCAAGGAAAAUGUCUUCACAUAUGGUCUGGCUGAAAGAUUUGUUGGGUUUGGAAAAUGAUCGAUAUGUCAUUUCUAACUUUUGGUGCGAUGGCAAAAUUUUGUUUUAUGCAAUUUUUCUUAACUAAACUGUAGUUACAUGCAAAUAGUUUUUUU